AGAAAACGGAGUCCUGGAAGGAGAAGAAUGAGGAUGCCAGCUGGUCACUCCUCCUUUGCUCCUGGCUAAUACAACUGCUGCAUGUUUGAUUUUUUCCAAAUCAGAGAGGGUUUAAAUGACAGAGGUGACCGGGGCGCAGCGGGGGCCUGGCCUCUUCCCUCUUCUGCCCCGUCCAGCUGAUCGGUAUCAGCCUGGGGUGGGGUGUCCUGUUUACGUCCCCGAGCAGGACCGGGAGUGCUGGCCCGUCCCACCGGCACCGACACCGUCCCCCGGUCCCCAGAGCGCAGCUGCAGGACAUCGGGCUCCUUGGAGCUCUGAGGUCGGGCUGUUUGUCUGUGCUGCAUGGAACUGCAUUUACAGUGCCUUUUGGGGUUUCUGUCGGUCACCCGCUGCGACCAAAUAUUUUUUUUCCCCCUCUGCUGCAUAACUUGGCUUCUGUUUUCUUGUUGUUGUUUUUUUCCUCCUGCCUUUGUAGCUGUUGGCUGCGGCCAGGGCCAAGUCACGGGGCAGGAUGUGCUGCUUCUCCGGAGGUGUUAUUCAGAUAAAGCCCAAGUAGAGAUUAUGCAGCAGAUUUGACCACCCGGAGGCUGCACAAAUGCUCAAGGUCCAGAUGCGAGUUGCACCUGAUGCAAACAAAGGAGAGCCCUGAUGAAGAGCAGAGACAGAGAGCAACUGCAUUUUUUACAGUAUAUUUCCCAGCCUGCGAGCCUUGCCGAGGCCUCAAUGCCUUCCCCUGAAGCAAUAAAAGGCAUUUGUGAUGUUUCUGUGCUGAACUGUGGGAAAAGAGCGGCGAGAAGCUGUGACCCCUGGGCAAGGGCAUGCUUUGGAAACACCGUCACUGAAAAAUCAACACAUCAAGCCCAGAAGGCCCAUGGGCUGCCGAUCUCCUCCCGCCUUAUCGGAGAGAGGACUCCUUUGGAUACUGGGGCAGCAGCCACCGGACAUUUUUGAGAUGUUUAUUCUAUCCAGUGUUGAUACUGAA